CUGUAGCGAACAGCUCAGAGCAGAAGCAAGGGAAACAGAGAUGUGCGGAAUCGCGUUGAUCAUCUCCGGCGUUCGUAUUGAUUUAUCAUCUCUGCUCCCGGAUUACACUCCCCCGCCGCCUUCCAAAGAUGAUCAAGUUGUGUUUUCGGUGCAUGAUCUUGAAGCAGCUUUACAGAGAAGGGGUCCUGAUAGCUUGGGAAGCAGGAAGGUUUUCCUUCAUUCAAGGAUUUCAAGCUCUGUGGAGGAUCAAGACAUUUUUUCUAUCAUGGAGGGAGGGGAUGAAAUAAAAGGGAAUGGAUCCUGUUUGCAAUGUUGUAGGAAUAAAUUUGAUUGCUUGUAUUCUGCAAAUGGAGAAUCUUGCUGGCUACAAAAUAGUUUCGAUGUACGAAAAUGUGUUCCAGAACUGCACUUUAUUGGUGCCACUUUACAGCUCAGAGGAACUGAUCCCAUUAUUCAGCCUUUGGUGGAUGCAUGUGGGAAUAUCCUAAUUUACAAUGGUGAAAUUUUUGGCGGAAUUCAUGUUGAUUUUUCUAGAAAUGAUGCUGAAAUUCUUAUGCAAUCUCUGGGAAAGUGCUGCUCCUGUGACUCCGAUGGACAUACAAAAGCAUGCCAUGGCACUACUGGAAACCAAAAUUCUGUUCCAGAGCUUCUUUCAACAAUUAAGGGCCCAUGGGCUGUUGUCUAUUGGCAGGAUAGUUCAAGAACCUUGUGGUUUGGUCGAGAUGCAUUUGGAAGGCGGAGCCUCCUAGUUCACUGGCCAACUUUGGAGGACUCUCGGCUUCUGCUGUCUUCUGUAUCACCCCCUUGUUCAGUUCAAUCUGAAGGCAAAAAUGAAAUGAGUGACCUGAAUUUCUGGGAAGAGCUUACAUGUGGGGUGUAUAGCAUGCAUGUGGGUUUCUCAAAGUUGGAUGGAUUUCUGGCUGGUAGACUCAAAAGGCAUGAGUGGACUAGUUCCGUGCUUAAAGUACUGGUUAAAUGGGAAAGAACUUCUGUUGUACCAAAGCCUCAAGAGUUGCAGUUUUCUCGUAUUGUGUUUCCUGGGCUGCAACAUGGUAUGCAGUUGGUUUAUUUAGAUACAAUGCCUUCUGAGUUAGGACCUAUGAUAGCAUCAGCUUCAGCACCAGCUCAGAGGGUACUGACUGCUUUGAGAGAAUCUGUGAUGCGACGCAGUACACAAAAUACAAAUUUUCAGGCAGCUGCAUGUAAUAUUAGACGGGAGGAACAUGUUCCAGUGGCGGUCCUUUUUUCUGGUGGAUUGGAUUCAAUGAUAAUUGCUGCGUUAUUGGAUGAGUGCCUUGAAUCUAGCUGUGCUAUUGAUCUACUUAAUGUGAGUUUUGAUGGUCAGUCUGCUCCUGAUAGAAUCUCUGCCAAGGCAGGCAUAAAUGAACUUAGAAGAAUUGCACCAUUGAGAAGGUGGAAACUUGUGGAAAUUGAUGCUGAUUUGUUGGAGCUGACCACAGAAACAAAGCAUGUCAUGUCUCUUAUAACUCCAGCAAAGACCUACAUGGACAUUAAUAUUGGGAUAGCAUUAUGGUUGGCGGCAGGUGGUGAUGGUUGGGUGGCUGAAGGAAUUAGUAAUGACUAUAAAGUUCAUCAGUGUGUGAAGUACAGGUCUGAGGCUAGGAUCCUUUUAGUUGGUUCUGGUGCUGAUGAGCAAUGUGCUGGUUAUGGGAGGCAUAAGACGAAAUAUAGACUAGGAAGUUGGCUUGGGCUGCAUGAGGAAAUGAAACUGGACAUGCAGAGAAUUUGGAAAAGAAACCUGGGGAGGGAUGAUAGGUGCAUUUCUGAUAAUGGCAAGGAGGCUAGAUUUCCUUUCUUGGAUGAAGAUGUUAUAAGGAUUCUGCUUGAUGUUCCUUUGUGGAAUGUGGCUGAUCUUGAUCAACCAAGUGGGAAAGGUGACAAGAAAAUUCUGAGAGAGGUUGCACAAUUGCUUGGUCUAUAUGAAGCAGCAGUGAUGCCUAAAAGAGCAAUCCAGUGAUUUGGGUGAUUGUUAUGCAUUUGUGCUCGUUAAGCCCCCCUGAAAACAGAAUGCUCUUCUACUAUCAAAAUCAAGACAAAUAAUGUCACCUUGCCAUGUUUGGUUCAAGAAUCGCACGGGAAUCAAAUCGAAAGAAUUUUGGGAGUAAUCGUGCGGCAAAUCAGGCGUCUGCAGGAAGUGCAGUAAUUCACAGGUCAUUGACUUAACUUGAUACCAGUUCUUGGAGGCGUAUGUUGCAAAUUUGCAUUCCCAGUGCUUGCUCAGUUCUGGAUUUCUUCUGUUGUUGGGCUCAUAUAAGAAGGGAUGCAUCGCUGAUCAAGAUAAUGAGCCUGCAACGGCACUGCUCGAGCUUAUUUUGCUGGCACUUGUGAGGCAUCGGAGCCCAUUUCUGUUGCUCUUUUAUCAAUGCUCACUCUUUAAAUCUUCCUCAGGCUUAAGCAUUGUGCUUUAAUCCCAUAUUUCAUCUUAUUUAAUUUUUUGGGAGGGGGGAAGGAGGGAGGCUGUUGGGUUGGGAAAAAGGUUGUGUUGUGCUAUUGCCAUUUAAACAGAAGCAUUGUAUUGUUUUUAUCAGUGUCAGAUUACUAGAUAAAGCAGAGAUAUUUGUGACCUUUACUUUGAACUCCUAUAAUUCAAAAUUAGGACAUUGAACUUCUUUGAGAUUUGACAAA